GACGAACGCUGGCGGCGUGCUUAACACAUGCAAGUCGAACGGAAAGGCCCCUUUGGGGGUACUCGAGUGGCGAACGGGUGAGUAACACGUGAGUAACCUGCCCUUGACUUCGGGAUAACUUCAGGAAACUGGGGCUAAUACCGGAUAGGAAUCAUUGCUGCAUGGUGGGGGUUGGAAAGCUUCGGCGGUUUUGGAUGGACUCGCGGCUUAUCAGCUUGUUGGUGGGGUAGUGGCUUACCAAGGCUUUGACGGGUAGCCGGCCUGAGAGGGCGACCGGCGACAUUGGGACUGAGAUACGGCCCAGACUCCUACGGGAGGCAGCAGUGGGGAAUAUUGCACAAUGGGCGGAAGCCUGAUGCAGCAACGCCGCGGGCGGGAUGACGGCCUUCGGGUUGUAAACCGCUUUCAGCAGGGGCGAAGCUUGUGGUGACGGUACCUGCAGAAGAAGCACCGGCUAACUACGUG
rnacentral:rRNA from 1 species